CCUACGGGAGGCAGCAGUGAGGAAUAUUGCGCAAUGGAGGAAACUCUGACGCAGCAACGCCGCGUGAGUGAAGAAGGCUUUCGGGUUGUAAAGCUCUGUCAAGUGGGAAGAACCCUCUGCAGGUGAAUAGUCUGCAGACCUGACGGUACCACUGAAGGAAGCACCGGCUAACUCCGUG
rnacentral:rRNA from 1 species